rnacentral:snRNA from 1 species
GUGCUUGCUUUGGCAGCACAUAUAUAAAAAUCGGAAGAAUGCAGAGAUUAGCAUGGCCCCUCAACAAGGAUGACACAAAAAUCCAUGAAGCGUUCCAUUAAUUA